rnacentral:rRNA from 1 species
GAUGAACGCUGGCGGCGUGCCUAAUACAUGCAAGUCGAGCGAACGGACGAGAAGCUUGCUUCUCUGAUGUUAGCGGCGGACGGGUGAGUAACACGUGGAUAACCUACCUAUAAGACUGGGAUAACUUCGGGAAACCGUAGCUAAUACCGGAUAAUAUUUUGAACCGCAUGGUUCAACAGUGAAAGACGGUCUUGCUGUCACUUAUAGAUGGAUCCGCGCUGCAUUAGCUAGUUGGUAAGGUAACGGCUUACCAAGGCAACGAUGCAUAGCCGACCUGAGAGGGUGAACGGCCACACUGGAACUGAGACACGGUCCAGACUCCUACGGGAGGCAGCAGUAGGGAAUCUUCCGCAAUGGGCGAAAGCCUGACGGAGCAACGCCGCGUGAGUGAUGAAGGUCUUCGGAUCGUAAAACUCUGUUAUUAGGGAAGAACAUAUGUGUAAGUAACUGUGCACAUCUUGACGGUACCUAAUCAGAAAGCCACGGCUAACUACGUG